rnacentral:rRNA from 1 species
UAAGGAAUAUUGGUCAAUGGAGGCAACUCUGAACCAGCCAUGCCGCGUGUGGGAUGAAGGCCCUCGGGUCGUAAAGCCCUGUCAGGAGGAAAGAACGAUCUUGUGGUGAAUACCCACGAGAUGUGACGGUACCUCCGAAGGAAGCACCGGCCAAUUCCGUGCCAGCAGCCGCGGUAAGACGGAAGGUGCAAGCGUUGCUCGGAAUCACUGGGCGUAAAGGGUGCGUAGGCGGCUUCUUAAGUCUGGUGUGAAAGCCCAGGGCUCAGCUCUGGAAGUGCACUAGAUACUGGGGAGCUUGAGUACCGGAGGGGAGAGUGGAAUUCUUGGUGUAGCGGUGAAAUGCGUAGAUAUCAGGAGGAAUACCGGUGGCGAAAGCGACUCUCUGGACGGUUACUGACGCUGAGGCACGAAAGCGUGGGGAGCAAACAGGAUUAGAUACCCUUGUAGUCCCUGAGCGGGCUGGCAAGGCGCAU